UACGGAGGAUCCAAGCGUUAUCCGGAUUUAUUGGGUUUAAAGGGUGCGUAGGCGGCCUAUUAAGUCAGGGGUGAAAGACGGUAGCUUAACUAUCGCAGUGCCCUUGAUACUGAUGGGCUUGAAUGUACUUGAGGUAGGCGGAAUGUGACAAGUAGCGGUGAAAUGCAUAGAUAUGUCACAGAACACCAAUUGCGAAGGCAGCUUAUUAAAGUAUGAUUGACGCUGAGGCACGAAAGCGUGGGGAUCAAACAGG
rnacentral:rRNA from 1 species